AAGUUAAUGAACUUGUUAUAAGUAUAUAUUUUGAAAAUAUAAAAAAGAAAUUAAAAUUUUCUAUUAACU
rnacentral:tRNA from 1 species